UGCCAGCCGCCGCGGUAAUACGUAGGGUGCCAGCGUUGUUCGGAAUUAUUGGGCGUAAAGCGCGUGUAGGCGGUUCGUUAAGUCUGAUGUGAAAGCCCGGGGCUCAACCCCGGAAGUGCAUUGGAAACUGGCGAACUUGAGUACGGGAGAGGAAAGUGGAAUUCCGAGUGUAGGGGUGAAAUCCGUAGAUAUUCGGAGGAACACCAGUGGCGAAGGCGGCUCACUGGCUCGGUACUGACGCUGAGGUGCGAAAGCGUGGGGAGCAAACAGGAUUAGAUA
rnacentral:rRNA from 1 species